rnacentral:lncRNA from 12 species
CUCAACUGCUGCAUGCCAGGAACAUGGAUUUCUUUGCUUGAUGCAGAUUGAAUUCUGCUUACACAAAACAAGUAUUUUUCUUCAAAAAUAAUACAUUUUCUGAGACCGGUAUACUCAUUGCCCAAAAUAUAUGCAGUGGAUGUUAAAAUGGC